rnacentral:lncRNA from 1 species
UUGGCUUUAGUGCAAGUGAAAGAUUGAAAGAAUAAUGCCCUACAAGCCAAUUGUAUAUGGGAUGCAAUAGGAUAUUUAUUGUAAUUUAUCUUCCAAACUCAUAUAAUUAAUAUUUAUAUUAUUAAUAAAAUAGAUAUUUUUGAUUCAUUAUAUGCUGCAUCUUAUUAUUUUUAAGAUUAUAAUAAAUUUCAUAAGUCUGAACAAUAGUUUUAGGAUCGUGAUGAGAUCAUACCAGUG